CUAUCCAGUGACAAACCUGGGAAGCCGCCGCUCUAAACGACGCCGGGGAGAACGACAGGGAGCAGGUCUCUGACGAGCCUCUGCGUUUUUUGAACCGGGCUCAGGAAAUGUGCAGUACUUGAAUCUACAGGCCCCGUCCAGUUUCAUAGGUACAGGUUGCAAUGGUCCGGCUGCCAGGGCCACGAGCUGCGCCCCACCCUUUGAAAUGUAUAGCGGGAACACGAGGCACUCGGCACUGCAAGCGCUACCAUCAUGCAUGCAUCAAGGUCAACCGCUUCUACGUGAUCAUCUAGGCUGGAAGUUAGCCGCACGUGACGUGUAGACUGCGUCAGCGACGACGACUCCGACUUGCGACAGCACGCGGCGUCGCUGACCCCGGGUGAAGUCUACGCAGGCCAGAGGUAUUCGUGGGUGGCGGUAGACGACGCUGUGGCUCGACAUGGACGCUUGCGAAAGCGCUUAGAGGGGCACAUACUAUCCGGACGCUUCGUGGUGUGCAUGCUUUGAGUGCAUGCUCAACUCGAUCCUGCCUCUAUCUACAUGCGACUGCAGUAGCAUCUGCAGCUUUUAGGGACGCUGCACACGCCCAAAGGAAACCGAGAAUGUCCCUGCAUACCGUGGAGCACGACGCAUACGCGUUGUGCGUCGAUCGGGACAGGGAUGACAGAGGCGAUGCGCUCAACACCAGCCAUAAGCGCACAGGGAGCAAGUCGGGUACGAUAGGGAUGGGUAAUAGGCGUCUCGUGCGGCGAAGCCAAGAACGAUGUCGAUCAAGCGGUCACGAAAUGGAAGCGUUCGCACGCCCCAGACUGGGGCCUGAUCAGUGUGUGGCAUCGCUUUCGAUAGAACAUUGCGUACAAGGCGGAAUAACGUGAUACCGCUCUAGUGCAUCAGGUUGGAUGCAUCAUGUGAACAAGCGAGAGAGAGAGACAGAAGCGACGCAUUCCUGAGCAGACGCGAGCGCCAGUCCCGAGAUUCCCUGAUGAAUCUUCAUCGAGAGUCGGUAAUGCUCCACUGUGCAUCUUGAAAAAGAAUAGGUUGACGCAUGCACGAAUAUCAUCCACGCUACGCAAGUGGCAUCGUUGAACCAUUCGCGUUGUUGCUGGGCGACAGCUCAUGUCGCGAAGCGGUUACGCUGAAGCAGCGAGUGGGAGGCAGCUCCGCAGCUUUGGGUGCCUCAACCUUCGCAGAUGCAAGUUCACACACGCAAGCUCAGCGCCACUGAAAGCAAACCGCGAACAUCGAGCCUAGGACGGGUGUUUGGGGUCGAAAGCCCCUCGCAGCGAACCUCGCUGUUGGCUCCGAACACCAAAACGACGGUACGUGAAACCAAGGAACGACGCGUCGCCCUCUCCUAGAGCGUGCAGGUCUCGAUACGAGUACCGAAGAAAAGGCUGCAUUCGAAGCUGCUCCCGAAAGAUUUUACGCGAACCCCGGAGCUCGCCUUGUUUGCGACUUGCUGGGUCCGCGUUCAGCGGGAACGCUCUUGUCGUGGGUGUCCUCGAGGCUGUCGAUGACCUGGCGUUCGUCGAAGUCAACGAGGCGUCCGCUUGGGCGCCCUCAAUGUCAACUACACGGGGCACCUGUUGGGGCUUUCGCUGAUCAGCAGGCGGCAGCGUGACAGCUGGUCGCGGGCGUGCUGGGCUCGCCAGAGUGUUCGCGGGUGCAGUGCUCCGCGGUUCAGUGCCGGUGCGUCCCGCAGGCGGUACAGUGGCCUUGGCUUCCUGGCUUUUUGGGUGCGUAUCGUCCUCGAAGUGGUCAAAGUAGCGAGUAUCGGCAUCAUGACUGAGUUCGGGCACGAACGGUGCCCGCAUCUCUCGCAUGCGAUUCCAGUCAAAGCCGUGGAAAAAGGGAUGACGUUUGAAGUCCUCGAGACCUUCGCGGGCGCCCAACCUGUUUUCGGGAUCUGUCAAGAGAGAACGGAUGAGGUCUUUGGCUGCUGGAGACACGUUCGGUCUCGCGGGGAACUGCAACGUCGUGCGCCAAUUGAGUAUUUUGCGACAAGUCUCCACGGAGUUUUCCGAAUAAAAGGCCGGAUAUCCGUAGAGCAUUUCGAAGAUGAUGACACCCAGACUCCACCAGUCACACUCCUUGCCGUAACCCCUCUUCAUGAGCACUUCGGGUGCGAUGUAGUCCGGAGUGCCGACCGUGGAAAACAUGCGGCGUCGUAGACCGCGUCGCCAGGAGCCUUUGCGUUCUGCCUCGCUCAUAGCUGCGAUACGAUCCCCGCCGGUAUACGUCAGAUCUGCGCCCGGUUCCAACAACGGCGCCAUGCCGUAGACUUGCAGCUCAUAGGCCGCAGCGAGUCCAAAGUCGGAUAAUCGAAUGUGACCAUCCUUCGCGAUAAGAAUAUUGUCAGGUUUGAUGUCGCGGUGAGUAAAUCCUAGACGA